UACGUAGGGUGCGAGCGUUGUCCGGAAUUACUGGGCGUAAAGAGCUCGUAGGUGGUUUGUCGCGUUGUUCGUGAAAACCGGGGGCUUAACCCUCGGCGUGCGGGCGAUACGGGCAGACUUGAGUACUGCAGGGGAGACUGGAAUUCCUGGUGUAGCGGUGGAAUGCGCAGAUAUCAGGAGGAACACCGGUGGCGAAGGCGGCAUCCUGGACCGAAACUGACACUGAGGCGCGAAAGCCAGGGGAGCAAACGGG
rnacentral:rRNA from 1 species